rnacentral:rRNA from 1 species
GACGAACGCUGGCGGCGUGCCUAAUACAUGCAAGUAGAACGCUGAAGAGAGGAGCUUGCUCUUCUUGGAUGAGUUGCGAACGGGUGAGUAACGCGUAGGUAACCUGCCUUGUAGCGGGGGAUAACUAUUGGAAACGAUAGCUAAUACCGCAUAACAAUGAAUGACUCAUGUCAUUUAUUUGAAAGGGGCAAUUGCUCCACUACAAGAUGGACCUGCGUUGUAUUAGCUAGUAGGUGAGGUAACGGCUCACCUAGGCGACGAUACAUAGCCGACCUGAGAGGGUGAUCGGCCACACUGGGACUGAGACACGGCCCAGACUCCUACGGGAGGCAGCAGUAGGGAAUCUUCGGCAAUGGGGGCAACCCUGACCGAGCAACGCCGCGUGAGUGAAGAAGGUUUUCGGAUCGUAAAGCUCUGUUGUAAGUCAAGAACGAGUGUGAGAGUGGAAAGUUCACACUGUGACGGUAGCUUACCAGAAAGGGACGGCUAACUACGUGCCAGCAGCCGCGGUAAUACGUAGGUCCCGAGCGUUGUCCGGAUUUAUUGGGCGUAAAGCGAGCGCAGGCGGUUUGAUAAGUCUGAAGUUAAAGGCUGUGGCUCAACCAUAGUUCGCUUUGGAAACUGUCAAACUUGAGUGCAGAAGGGGAGAGUGGAAUUCCAUGUGUAGCGGUGAAAUGCGUAGAUAUAUGGAGGAACACCGGUGGCGAAAGCGGCUCUCUGGUCUGUAACUGACGCUGAGGCUCGAAAGCGUGGGGAGCGAACAGG